rnacentral:lncRNA from 1 species
UAUUUUUAGCAGAGAUGGGGUUUCAUCAUGUUGGCCAGACGAGUUUCAAACUCCUGACCUCAGGUGAUCCACCCACCUUGGCCUCCCAAUGUGCUGGGAUUACAGGCCUGAGCCACCACGCCCGUCCAAGGUCUGCUUUAAAUCCAAGGCAAAGGGCACACUGUCCUACUUUCAUUGCUUGCAUCCAACUGCACUAUAUUUAAAGUCACUGCUGCAAGGCUCUUUGCUGAAACUCAAUUCUCCCUUGUGUCUGGGGCUGCCAUUGGACACUUGCCCCACUGUUUAAAGAACUGCCUUUUUCAAAUUUAAGCAGCUCAGAAGACAAAUGAUGUCACUCUUAUCAUUUAUACACCAAAUUAUGAGGGCUCUGAGAAAAAUGAACAGAAAGCCCCGUCUUUUUCUGGGGUUCUCUCCCCUUAGCAAUCCCAGGAACCUCUAGGAAAGGUUACAUAAAUGCAGGAAUCAGUCCUACUCAUCACCACUGCUUGUCAGGGGAGUGGGAACCCAGACUUUCCCUUGAAAUCCAAGAUUAAGGAUAAAAUCCUUUAAUGGCAAAAGUGAGAAGGAGGACUCUGCUCUGGUUCCAGGUCAAGGUGACGCUAAGUAACCUUACUAUUUAACUAGUUUGUUAAUUCAUAGAGUUUGUUUUCUGAAGCCUAUGCCACAAGACCAUGAAAAUUAUGGUGACUAGGAAAUCCCUUUGUUUGGUCUGAUUAGAAAAAUAUUGAAGAUUGUACAUGAAGAACAGAUGUAUGUGAGACUCCUAGCAUGGCCCUAGUAGAGGGCCAUGACUGUUCGCUGAUGAUGUCCACCUAAGCAAGGCUUUGUUUACCUCCCCCUAGCUUACAUGGCUGACUUUACCAAAAAAGCUUCGGGUGGAAAUGGGUGUGUGUGAGACAGCAAUCCUGAUUUUAUGAUUCUCAGGUCCCAGAAGAAUAGACGAGACAAUGGACCAUAUUUCAAACUGCACAUUUUCUUUAGGCCUCACUCACCCUUUAAUAUAAAUGUUUUAAUCAAUUGGGAUACAGGCUAUUGAUGAGAACUUCGGGGAUUGGAACUCUAGCUCAGUGAAGAAGAAACAAGAUAAAUCUCUGUGCAGAUCAGUAGAACAGUCAGAGAUGAAAGGGUUUAGAAAGCAGAUGGCAGUAUGAGAAAAUUCAAUAGCUAGAGUACAAUAAAUGGAGUGCAAGAGGGUGGUGGAACGCAGAAUGCAAGCUUGACCUUCUCUACAACUUUGCCUGGGGCCCUGGUGACAGCUGUUAACUCAACUUCUCUACAUUUUUGCCAACAGAGCCACUUUGGAAAAUAGAGUACAUCUGCCAUGAUUCGGUACAAUUUCCACUAGUAAAAAUUCUGAUUUGUUUUCAUGUCUUCCUGAUUCUCGCCAAUGAAAAGAAAAAAAUAGAGACAAGCCAAUUACUCACCUAAACAUUCCCCCUUGUCAAUACGAUAUUGGCAGAAUUUCCCUAGUUGUGUAUUCCCAACUCUUACUUUGAAGCAUUUAACCAUUUAUACAACACUACAUAUUAUUAAGCCUCUACUCUGAGCCAGGAAUCAGAAAGAGCUAGAGAUUUACCCUCAAACAUCACAAUGUCCCUUGUUUAUCUGUGCUAAGCUGGUGGCCAUGAAUUUCUCUCAAUGUGGAGUUGUAGGUUCUUUAAGCCACUGCCUACUAUGUAAGCAGUAACUCUUCAUAUUGUUCCUACACUUACCUCUUUUGGACUACAGAGAUUAGAGUAUAUUAGUAUUAUAAAAAACAGAUAAAAAUUAGUCUAAGUAAGCUUAUAUUCUAGUGAAUAAAAUAAUUGACAAAGAAAAAUAAAUAUCUAAAUCAAAUAGUGAUAAGAAAUAAAGUAUAAGUUAAGUAAGGGGCUAGAGAAUGACAGUAGAGCUGGUGACUUAUUUAAACUGGUGGUUAGAAAAGGCCUUUCUGAGGAAGUAAUACUUGAAUCGAUAUCUAAAUGAAGUGAGAGAAUAAACCAGGUAGAGAUCUGGAAACAGUAUUCCAGACCAAGGAAAGAGCAAAAAUGCAAAAAGCCUGAGGUGGGAAUGAGCUCGUCAUACUUCAGGAACAGCAAGAAAUCCACUAUGGCUAAUAUGGAGUGAAUAAGGCCAAGUGAUAGAAGGUAAGAUCAGCAACAAGCAGAGGACAAAUCAUGUGGGGAUGUAGGAAUCUAAAAGACCUGUAGGGAAAUUUUUGAGUAAUUUUCUAAGGUCAGAGGUAUAAUUUGUCCCACUUCCCCUAUACUCCACAGAGUAUUUUAAAAGUAACCUAGAAGCUAAGGUCACCCUAAGUUUCUGAAGUCAAAGUCUGUCCUUAUAUCUUAUAGUCCCAGUUAUCAUCCAUUAUAAAGUAGACCACAAAGUAAGAGCAGAGCAGAAUGAGAGAAGGAUGAGUAAACCCUAAAAGGAAUGAGAUGAGUAAUAAAAUUUUGAAAAGAAAAGCUACACACUGGGAGAUUUAACUGAAAUUUUAUGCCAUGGAAAAUGUGAUAGGAUCCUAAUGGAAUUAUCUUUAUCCUGUUCCUAAAUAUGUCUUUCCAAUAAAUGUAUAGUCAAUUUUAUUUUUACAGAUGUGUAAAGAGAAGACUCUGGAAGCUCAGUCUUUCAUGAACAAUUCCCAUAUAGUGAGUCCUCAAGGAGUGGCCAGAGAAGGCCCUCAGGUAACAGGCACUGGAUCUGCAGAGCCAGUGCCCAGGUCUGUCAUCCAGAGCGGGAUCCAUUGGCAGGCCAACUGGGCAGAGUAAAUUAGAAACAUGGCACCUGUCAACUUGGGUAUCUAUCCAGAUUGUAGAUCACACUGCUAAAAUACAAGUAGGUACUGCUUUCAACAAAGUAGACAUAUCAAGUGGAACCAUAAAAACCAUUCCUCCAAAAAAGCUGUCUGCCCAGUACAAAUCUUGAAACCAGCCAGUUAAUAUUUUUCUAAAAUCAAAAUAUUAGGCUGUGUAGGCUCACGCCUGUAAUCCCAGCACUUUGGGAGGCUGAGGUGGGCAGAUCACUUGAGGUCAGGAGUUGGAGACCAACCUGGCCAACAUGGCGAAACCUUAUCUCUACCAAAAAUACAAAAAUUAGCCUGCUGUGGUGGCACACACCUGUAACCCCAGCUAUUUGGGAGGCUGAGGCACAAGAAUUGCUUGAACCCAGGAGGCAGGAGGCAAAGGUGGCAGUGAGCCAAGAUUACGCCACUGCACUCCAGCCUGGACGACAGAGCAAGACUUUGUCUCAAAAAUAAAUAGAUUAAUUAAUUAAUUUAAUUUAACUAAUGCAUGGGACAAUACUAUUUAUUGAAAAUGGAAUUAUUUUAUUAUCUAAUGCUUGGAUACCUGAAUAUGUUGUCCAAGAAAUUAGUCCAGAAAACGGAAAUUCCAAGACGAUUGCAACAAAAUAAAAAGAAAAUGAAGUAAAUUCAUACUUCCCAUAUAAUAAUGUCUUAAUUUUGAGCAUUAAGUAAAAAGUACACAACUUUGAUUAAUAAAAAAAAUCAAUAUCUCCUCAACCUUACUAAAUAAAUGUUAAACAAAUAUACAAAUAAUUUAUCAGUUUGAAGGGAUACCAAGUUGUUCGCCUUGCAUGGAGCCUCAUAUUUCUGGGUCCAGCCCUAUUGUCAUCUCACUUUCUCAAAUGUACCAAGAUCCAGGAAGCUCUUGCCCUAAAUGGAAAUGAAGAUUCGAUCCCAGCUGAUCCUAAGUUCAUAUCUGAGAAAGAACCAACAGUGCUGGCCAACAGCCCAUGAAUACCAGCCAGUAUGAUCGAGGAUACAGAAGACCAGACCAGUGGAGCUAGACAAAACCAAGCAUUCCAGUCCAGGGGCCUUUUGCUCUGGCCGCCUUCUGACCAUUGCCUGCCUGCCUGCCUGGAGAUUGAUAGGGUAACCAGGCAGCCCAUUAGACCUGCUUAUCUCAGCACCCCGUGGCUGGCUGGCUGGGAACUGGCCCGCCAGUGUCUACUUCAUCACAAGCUCAGCCUCUGGCUGUCAGCACCUGGAGCUGGGCCAGUGGGGCCCGGGUGGGGCAGCUGGUACCAGACACCCAGGCCUGCUCUGUGUCCUCCCCCUACUAAUAAAUGACUUUCCUGGCGCUGCCACCACAUGGAUCAGUGGCAGCACAGACUCCCUGUCGGCAAGACAGCCAUUUUUCUAUGCCUGAUUGCAGCAUGAAAAACAGAAGUUCCCUUGGAUUGUAGUUUUGUGUAAAUGCUUUCUCACACAUUUUCUCCAUCAUUAACUAGUCAUAAAUCAAUCCAGUAAGCAACUAUUUUACCACCCUGUGCAGUUUUCCUCAAGCCCUUCCAGAAUUGGGCUAUGCUGGAGGAGUCACAAAGGGAAUUCAACAAGAGCCUGCAUGCCUCUCUCAGCACGCCUUCCCCUCCACUCUCAGCUGAAGAUGUAGCUUUGCACAGGCCCCCACCCUGAGUGGAUGUUGAGUGCUCCUUCCAUGUGACUCCACAAAUCUCUGCCCUUCCCCAACAGAGAAUGCUCUGUACUGUAUCUAUUUGUUCACCUGUUUGUUUCUGCAGCAAGGUUGUGAAUUUGAGGGUCUCUCUUGUCCACAGUUGCACGCUCAACAUGUAGCAGUAGACCCGGUACUGAUGGGUUGGUCAGAUUAGAUUAGUUAAAUGAAUAAGUGGGUGUGAUAUCUGUACAGAAAUCCUUUAUAGCAGCUACCUUUUGACAUUCUCACUUGUAGGUGUCUGGCUCCUCUCCAAAACAAAGAGCUGGUUGUCGUCAGGGGUUAUGUUUUGGUUCCUUUGUAUUCCCAAUGCCUAGAACAUUAAUAGGUCAGGCACGAUGGCUCAUACCUGUAAUCCCAUCACCUUGGGAGGCUGAGGUGGGAGGAUCCCUUGAAACCAGGAGUUUAGGACCAAUGCCCAGUACAUUAAUAGGAUAUGAAGUGGCUGAAUAAGUGAAAAGAAUAAAUUGAAGUGAUUAAUGGAUCUAGGUUUGAGACUGUCUUUAUAUUUUACUCCAAUGUCAACACAGGGCACCAGAGGGUAUACAACUGUAUGUGUUUUAUCAAAACUCACAAAACUGUCCACUAAACAGGGUGAACUUUUGCUGUAUAUAAAAUAGCUUAAUUUUUUAAUGUGAAAGAGUAUUUAAAAAUUACCAGAAGGCCGGGCGUGGUGGCUUACACCUGUGAUCCCCGUACUUUGG